UUUCCGAAUCCAAAAUGGUCCUC
rnacentral:piRNA from 1 species